UACAGAGGCCUCAAGCGUUAGGCGGAAUCACUGGGCUUAAAGCGUGUGUAGGCGGGUCGUUAAGUGCCUUGUGAAAUCCCCUGGCUCAACCAGGGAACUGCUUGGCAUACUGGCGAUCUUGAGCCACCUAGGGGCAACUGGAACAGACGGUGGAGCGGUGAAAUGCGUAGAUAUGUGGAGGAAUACCGAUGGCGAAGGCAGCCCCCUGGGAUAACACUGACGCUCAUGCACGAAAGCGUGGGGAGCAAACAGG
rnacentral:rRNA from 1 species